UACGUAGGGUCCGAGCGUUGUCCGGAUUUAUUGGGCGUAAAGAGCUCGUAGGCGGCUUGUCGCGUCGUCCGUGAAAACUUGGGGCUCAACCCCAAGCUUGCGGUCGAUACGGGCAGGCUAGAGUUCGGUAGGGGAGACUGGAAUUCCUGGUGUAGCGGUGAAAUGCGCAGAUAUCAGGAGGAACACCGGUGGCGAAGGCGGGUCUCUGGGCCGAUACUGACGCUGAGGAGCGAAAGCGUGGGGAGCGAACAGG
rnacentral:rRNA from 1 species